rnacentral:tRNA from 1 species
GGGCGCGUAACUCAGCGGAAGAGUGCUACCUUCACACGGUAGAAGUCGUGGGUUCGAAACCCUCCGCGCCCACCA